rnacentral:lncRNA from 1 species
UGACCAGGUUAUCUGUGGUCCUACUGUGAGUCUACCUGUGGAUGUUGGGUGACUCUGAGGUUCCUGAUCUCCCUCCUUCUUGGUUUCUUGGUUUUUUAGAUCAAAUGUGUAGUGGGCAGCCAUGCAAAUGGAGCACAGGUUCAAGAGGAGAAAUAUCUCCUAGCAGCCCUUCAAACAGAGGACUGUUCUCCCUAGAAGAGGAGAAUGCUUUCUGUGCCAAGAAAGUGUGUUCUGGCAGUCAAAUCUGUGCACGCGUGUGUUUAGGAUGGGGCAGGGCUGGCAGAAGAUAGGAGGCGAGGUGGUAGGAGGCUGAGAAGAAGCAGAACAGGAGAACCACCCCUGGAUCUGCAACAAAAUCCUCACCUUUGCCACCUCGCUGAGUAGGCCUGGUCCUGAAGAAAGAGGGGAGCCUCCCCAGGCACUCCGAAAAGCCUCUCCAUUCCUUCUUUCUCCCCAAAGGCUCCACCUGGCUUGGUGGAGCCUUGGUUUCCCCAGCAACCGGUGGGGGAAAUUGUUUCCUGCCAGAGGUGAGAAUACCAAAGGCUUCCCCUUCCUGCCCCAGCAGGCCCAGUUGGGCUUCUCCCACCUGGGAGAGCAGAGUCACGGGAGGGAAGCGCUCCAGGUGCAGCAGGGAACGAGGCGGAGGUGGCGGGUGCGAGACCCGAUGCCUGGAAUUGUCUGGAGGCGGCGACCAGGCUGAGGUUGUGUCUGUUCUUGCAUUUCCUGCCCGGAGGGUUCCUCUUGCCUGCUUCCCCACAAUCCCCAGGAAGUCAGAACACCAUGGACAGCUGCUGAUGGGAAAAGGGCUUCCAUAUGGAAUACACAUGGCAGGAGAAAGGAGACAAGGUGGAGUCAGCUGGCAAGGUAAGCCCUGCCCUGCCCGCCCUCAUGGUGCUGGUUUGGCCCAUGGGUGGCAGAACCAAGACGCUGUUGGGUGAAGUAUAACACAGCAGGAGAACAGAGCAGGCCAAGGGGUAAAGGGCCCCUUUUUCAGAUGCAAUCCUAACCGCACUUUUGCCCACUCGGGUGAAAGGCACUGGUUCUCACUUUGAAUUCUGGGGAUCAUUUGUCGUUUUGCAAAUGUGCAUCUCAAUUACUGCAAAGCGGUGUCCUCUUUUCAUUCUCCUUUUUAAGGGGAGCACAAGUGGCCAUCCUAGAAUGAUGGUUGGCUUCACAAGGUUGGUGUACCUGUACCGGCAGCGAGGGGGGGGGGAGAGGGAGGGCUUUUUCCCCCACUUCCCUUGGCAGAAUUAGCUCCAGCCCUGAGAGAUAGUUUGGGUUGUGGGGAAGGAACACUUGGGUGGAGGGUUGUGGGGCUUUCUCUUCUUUGCAAGGCAAAUAAGCCCCAGCCCCCUCCCAAUGAAGCUCUCCUGGGGCAAUUCAGAGAGUAUCAGAGCAACACAGACUGUGUUGCACUGCCCCCCCGCCCCCCUCCAGCCAGCUCUCUCUCUUUUUUGGCAGCGUUUGCCACAUCCAGUCUGUUUAGCAUCAGCUUAGCCCCAUCGCGGCAGGCUGGGACCUCCGCAUUCGAGGCUAUUUUUGCAUUCAGUUCAGUUUUUAUCAUUUUAAGGUUCACGCGUUUCUAAUUGUUAUGAAUACCAUGGUAAAAUUAAUAGUUCUAUGGUUGGUUUAUUACAUUUAGUAAAAUUAUGGGCAUGUAAUGUUUGCCAAGAAAAGACACUGCA